rnacentral:rRNA from 1 species
GACGAACGCUGGCGGCGUGCUUAACACAUGCAAGUCGAGCGAGGCCCYUUCCUUCSGGAAAGGUGCCCUACCGGCGAACGGGUGAGUACCACGUGGGCAACCUGCCCCUAGCACUGGGAUAACUCCGGGAAACCGGGGCUAAUACSGGAUACGACCUCAGCAGGCAUCCUGCGGAGGUGGAAAGWUUAUCGGCUAGGGAUGGGCCCGCGGCCUAUCAGCUUUGUUGUGGGGUAAGGGCCCACCAAGGCUUCGACGGGUAGCCGGCCUGAGAGGGCGACCGGCCACACUGGGACUGAGACACGGCCCAGACUCCUACGGGAGGCAGCAGUGGGGAAUAUUGCACAAUGGGCGAAAGCCUGAUGCAGCGACGCCGCGUGAGGGAUGACUGCCUUCGGGNUGUAAACCUCUUUCAGCAGGGACGAAGCGAAAGUGACGGU